rnacentral:rRNA from 1 species
GACGAACGCUGGCGGCGUGCUUAACACAUGCAAGUCGAACGGAAAGGCCCCUUUGGGGGUACUCGAGUGGCGAACGGGUGAGUAACACGUGCGUAACCUGCCCUUGACUUCGGGAUAACUUCAGGAAACUGGGGCUAAUACCGGAUAGGAAUCCUUGCUGCAUGGUGGGGGUUGGAAAGCUUCGGCGGUUUUGGAUGGACUCGCGGCUUAUCAGCCUGUUGGUGGGGUAGUGGCUUACCAAGGCUUUGACGGGUAGCCGGCCUGAGAGGGCGACCGGCCACCUUGGGACUGAGGUACGGCCCAGACUCCUACGGGAGGCAGCAGGUGGGAAUAUUGCACAAUGGGCGGAAGCCUGAUGCAGCAACGCCGCGUGCGGGAUGACGGCCUUCGGGUUGGAAACCGCUUUCAGCAGGGGCGAAGCUUGUGGUGACGGUACCUGCAGAAGAAGCACCGGCUAACUACGUG